AGGGUCUUGCUAUGUUGCCCAGGGCGGUCUUAUACUCCUGGCCUCAAGUGAUCCUCCUGCCUCAGCCUCCCGAAGUGCUGAGACUACAAGGCAUGAGAGAUGAAGGAUAGACGGUUCAGAGAGAUGCUCUUCCCCAAGGAUGCUUCCUUUUCCUUCUGACAUGAGUGGAACCAGCCAUAGGCCCUCAUCAGAGGCAGAUGCUGGCACUUUGCUUCUCGUACAGCCUGCAGAAUGCAACAGCAUCGCGCUUUGUAUUUGUGUAGGAGCCUUGAAACAACAGAGAAUUUAUCCUUUCUCCAGCAGCAGCCAACCUUUGCUUGGGAUAAAAAGAAGAAAGAUUUACUCUAAAAGACAGACAGGUUUUCCUUUAUUUUUUCUCCAGAGUCAGCUUACCUAUUUCUGGAAUCUAAGCUGAAAGUUUUCUUGCCCCUUACCUGGAGGAAGACAGUUUUUGCUUUAUAUGAGAGAAGAGUUAAUUGUGGGUUUCAUACCUGUUCUAUAGAAAGAAGCAACUUACCUCAAUGUUUCAUCAUUAAGGGAGACUUUCUCAGGUGGCCUUUUUUGAUUCUACUCUUUCUCAUGGACACCUGGUGGAGGCUCAUGAGAAAGUUCUGGCAAGUGGGUGAAGACUACUUUUGUAUUUAGAACUCCCAAGAAUAUUAACCUGUGCCACUAGCCCACACUCUCUGUUUAUGUGUUUGUUAACACUGAAGAUUUUUUCUUCUUAUUCACUUCAAUGAGUGUCAUCUCUGUUUGAUGUGCUUUGCCGGGGCAAGAUACUUAGCGUGGCCUGUCCUGUCUUUCCUUAGAGGAAUUUGUUACACUUUGAAAAUCAAAGUACCUCAUUGCCUUGGGAUUUCAACUCAUUGAAGAAUUGAAAAGCAAGCAAACAAGCAGGCAAACAAAUGAAACCCCAAUAACUCUGGUUCUGUAUAUUUUCUUUGUUUUACUUAUUGUUGGGUGGGAUCAACGUUCUCUUAUGGCUUUCUGGAUUCUUAACAGAAGUAAAACUCUGAUUGGUCUUUAAGAAUAAACCUUAGUGAAAAAAAUGAGAACUAUAAUGACAUAUAUAAUAGCAUUUAAGUAAAUUAAAAUAUCUUCACAUUAUACAAUUUGCAUUUUCUAAAAGAAUUUCAAAUAAAAUUAAAUACAUUAUAAUUGUUGCCUGAGGAAGAAGCAAAGGAAAGUGAUAUAUAUUAACAUAAAUGAAUGAAUUAAAGAUAAAUGAAUAAAGCAAGAAAGGAAACUUUCAUUAAACAAAGUUGAUUAAGUGCAAUAGACAGUAUGAUAAACUCUGUCCUUUGUACUUGAAAUCCAAAAGGUAUUGAUAAACAAACAACCAAACACAAAAGAUUGGAUAUAUGACAUUAUCUUUUUCCACUUGUAUUGCAAUGCUGUGCAUAUAUAUCAUCUUGGAUCCCUCAAUAUGCUGCUUAUAAAGCUUAUUUUACUUUAAUAAUAAAUGUAUUAUGAAAUAUAAAAUUUGACUCCAUUGCAUUACUGUAAAUAUUUUAGUGGUUUUUUUGUGAGUAUAUGUAGCUAAUUGGAGGAUGAAAUACAAUGUUUUAAGCAAGUGUGAUUAACAUAAUAAAGCACAUGAAUUACUAUAUUUUUGUGAAAAGAAUAAAACAAAAUACUAUGAACAUACAUCAUGGAGGAAAUAUUUUAUUUGUUAAUAUCGUGUUUACUUCUUUAAUGGAAAUAAUUU
rnacentral:lncRNA from 1 species